GCUGCAAGGAGACAUUCACUGAGACACUAAGGGACAUUGGGAGACAUUAUGACAGACACCUGGGGACACAGUGUCCCCAUCUCUCCCAGCCAGUGUCCCUGGUGUCUCAGUGCCCCCUAGUCUGCCAGUGCCCCCAGUCUGCCAGUGUCUCACUGUUCCCAUGUCUUCUAGUGCCUCCAUGUCUCCCAGUGCCCCCAUGUCUCAAUUUUCCCAUCUCCCCCAGCCAGUGUCUCUAGUGUCUGUGUCCCUGGUGUCUGUGUCCCCAUGUCUUCAAGUGUCCCCAUGCAUCCCAGCCAGAGUCCCCUAGUCUCCCAGUGCCACUGGUGUCUCUGUGUCCCUAGGUGUCCCCAGGUCUUCCUAGUGACAUGGGAACUCUGGGAUACAUGGGGACACAGGGAGACACGGGGCAUUGAGACACUGUGAUACAUAGGACACGACACUAGGGGACACUGGGAGACAUGGGGCACUGAGACACUGAUACAUAGGAACACUGAGAACAGGAGUAAUCGACACAUGGGGGCACUGGGAGACAUGGGGCUACUGGGAGGAAUCCAUCUAUACAGCAGAAUCAACCUAAGUAGUUUUUUGGUGAUUUUACAGCAUUUUCUCUUAUGUCACUCCUUGUGAUUUACAUCAUGUGAUGUCACCCACACAUAUUUAAUUAUGCAAAUUAGCAAGGCUGGUAUGUUUUUCCAAGAAAGGUGGCAACCCUAACUACUUUUCACAUACCCUUACUUAAG